UGAGCAAUCUGCCCUUCUCAUCGGAAUAAGCGUUGGAAACGACGUCUAAUGCCGAAUACGACCUCCUUUCGCAUGAUCGGAGGUGGAAAGCUCCGGCGGAGAAGGAUGAGCUCGCGGCCUAUCAGCUAGUUGGUGUGGGUAAUGGCCCACCAAGGCGACGACGGGUAGCCGGCCUGAGAGGGUGACCGGCCACACUGGGACUGAGACACGGCCCAGACUCUUACGGGAGCAG
rnacentral:rRNA from 1 species